GCGGGCGUGGCGGAAUUGGCAGACGCGCGAGAUUUAGGUUCUCGUGCCGGAAGGUGUGUGGGUUCGAGUCCCACCGCCCGCA
rnacentral:tRNA from 1 species